GUCCCUCGGAGCAGCCACGUCGCUCAGAAAAUGUUAGUCGUUCGAUCUCAACACCCGAUCUCUCUCAACGUCCGAUGUUUGAAUCAACGCGAUGGUGCACAAGCCCAACGCUCGCUUCGCUCUUUCGUCCUCGCGAGGCUGCUGCCCACCACCAGCGUCUUCUCUCUCCCGUCCUCGUGAGGCCACCGCCCACCAACGCUACCGCUGCGUCCUACAUCGUCUCGCCCUCGCCCACCUCGUCGUCCGGAGCUUCGCUCUCCCAUCCUCGCGAGGCUGUCGCCCACCACCGCCGCCUUCUCUCUCUUGUCCUCGCGAGGCCGCUGCUCAAUAAAGUUGUCGCCGCAUCCUGCAUCCCCCUCGCCCUCGCCCACCACCGCCGCCUUCUCUCUUCUGUCCUCGCGUGGCCGCUGCUCAAUAAAGCUGUCGCCGCAUCCUGCAUCCCCCUCGCCACCUUGUCGUCCGGAGGACCUAGCAUCCAGAUCCGUCGCCCGAGCUGCUAUACCCGCCGGUUGUCACCAUCUAUUUAUUCAUUGUUAGAAACUUGGGUUUAGUGCUCAGGAGAUUUCCACAUGUAAGAUUUUCAUCUACUUGAGAAGAUAUGGCAGAGACAUACCUUUGUUAUUUUGAACUGAAACAUUGUCGAACACUGUUAGGUGUCCAUCGAUGUUGUUGGUGUUAGGUGUCCAUCGAUGUUGUUGGCCUGGUAGAUGAGUGGGUUGCUCGUUGUUUUGAAGAACUUGAUUAUGUAAAUGUAAAUUAUGGGGAAAUGACACUUUGCUGACGUGAUGAAAGAUCUUCCAUAGUUGCUUGAUACUGGGUUCUUCCACAUUGAUCCACAUCUAGGCAAUAUGAUCAGAACACCUGACGGAGAUUAUGUUGCAGAACUGUAUCAACUCCCUCUAAUUUUAUGUUAUAUUAUAUUUGGUAGGAAUUUCUACUGGGUCUGAAACUUGUAACAUACAGUUUUCUGAAGAUCUACGAAAGAUAGUGGAUACUUAUCAGAUGAGUGCUUGCACUGCCUUUCAAGUCAUCCGACUAAUCGCGAUUAGUCGGGCUGGUCGGUUUAGGGUGGCCGAUUAGGGAAGCCGACCCGAUCAGAACACCUGGUCGCCCUGGUGUUGAUGAAUUUCAGUUGGAUGAAGAUCUUUAGGUCACUGGUAGUGUGGUAGUAAGUGUUUCUUUGCUGUUUUGAACACCUGCAUUACUUUAGGGUCAUUGGGAGCUACUGUUUUAAGUUGGAUGAACAAAUGUCUUUUCUUAAAUGAGUAUUGCAGAAUCAAUGUUUUCAAGUCGGACGACUUGCUGGUCGUUCUGGCUGACCGACUAGGGCGAUUAGUCGGACGACUUGGGUGAUUAAUCGUGAUUGGUCCAAACCGACUUGGACGAUUAAUCGCGACUAAUCACGAUUAAUCGGACGACUUGAAAACAUUGCAUAAUUCAUGUCA